rnacentral:rRNA from 1 species
ACGCACGUUGGCGGCAUGCCUAACACAUGCAAGUCGAACGAGACCUUCGGGUCUAGUGGCGCACGGGUGCGUAACGCGUGGGAACCUGCCCUUAGGUUCGGAAUAACUCCCCGAAAGGGGUGCUAAUACCGGAUAAUGUCUUCGGACCAAAGAUUUAUCGCCUUUGGAUGGGCCCGCGUUGGAUUAGCUAGUUGGUAGGGUAAAAGCCUACCAAGGCGACGAUCCAUAGCUGGUCUGAGAGGAUGAUCAGCCACACUGGGACUGAGACACGGCCCAGACUCCUACGGGAGGCAGCAGUGGGGAAUAUUGGACAAUGGGCGAAAGCCUGAUCCAGCAAUGCCGCGUGAGUGAUGAAGGCCUUAGGGUUGUAAAGCUCUUUUACCCGGGACGAUAAUGACAGUACCGGGAGAAUAAGCUCCGGCUAACUCCGUG